UUAUGGCCAUAUCACGUCGGAGCACCGAUUCUCAUACGAUCACCGAAGUUAAGUAACAUCUAGUCAGGUCAGUAGUUAGAUGUGUGACCGCUUAGGAUAUGCCAGUUGCUGUAA